rnacentral:lncRNA from 1 species
GGUUUUAGAAGUUUGGAUUUGGGCCUUGGGCUUUAGACAUUAAUACUUACUAAUUCAUCACCCAAUUAUUGUUGUACCUCCACAAUUUGUUUUAAUUUGAUUUUGGGUCCUAAGCCCAUUUAUAUUUGAUUCAUUCAUUUUAUCUCUAUAUUGUGAAUGUAACCCCAUCCCUUUGAUUGCAUUUUUAUUUUUUAUUUUUAUUUUAUUUUUGC